rnacentral:rRNA from 1 species
UACGUAGGGUGCAAGCGUUGUCCGGAAUUAUUGGGCGUAAAGAGCUCGUAGGCGGCCUGUCGCGUCGGCUGUGAAAACCCGGAGCUCAACUCCGGGCCUGCAGUCGAUACGGGCAGACUGGAGUUCGGCAGGGGAGACUGGAAUUCCUGGUGUAGCGGUGAAAUGCGCAGAUAUCAGGAGGAACACCGGUGGCGAAGGCGGGUCUCUGGGCCGAUACUGACGCUGAGGAGCGAAAGCGUGGGGAGCGAACAGG